GGAGGAUUCAAAUGUUGAAUCAGACCGUGGUUGUUAGUAAUUCUUUUCAUUGUCCAAGAACAAAGGGAUUCGAUCCGAGCAUGCAAAGAAUUGUGGCGUAGGGAGGAAGCAGUCGUUGGGAAAGAGGGUUGAUGUGUUGGGAUCCUGCAGGUUGAUGCGUUGGGAUCCUGCAAGGUUGGAUACUUCGUUCUUCAAUGGAGCAAGACUUGUGAGAAGAGAAAGAAGAGAGGGAAAGAAGAAGGAAGACAGAGAGGGGGGGGG
rnacentral:lncRNA from 1 species